GCCGAAGUGGCGGAAUGGUAGACGCGGCAGACUCAAAAUCUGUUGCCCGCAAGGGCGUGGGGGUUCAAGUCCCCCCUUCGGUA
rnacentral:tRNA from 1 species